rnacentral:misc_RNA from 1 species
GGCGCUCCGCUCGCCGACAUCCGGUCGGAAACAGCGAAGGUUCAAACGCGGACAGCCAUUCCUCCGAGGACGACCGGUCACUCACCAGUGCUUACACUAGCUCAACCACGGAGGACAGCGAGAUCGACCGGCCGCCUAGGAGGAAACGAGCACACGCCCGUUCAUCGAGCCGCCGCCACCGCCGCCGGGCUCGCAGCACGGACAGUCACCGGCGGCGCACUCACACGCCGACACCAGCCAUAGACAUGCUGGACAUGAGCCGAGUCCCGGUCAAGUCCAAGCAGCCGCCGCCACCGCGCGCGCUGAAGCUGCCGACCAUCAGCGCUGCCGCCAUGCAGGCACUCGCCAACCGUGCCACGAUGGUGUCUGUAGACGAGGUAGUGUUCCCGCACGCGCCACCCGUGGACGGUGCGCGGGGACAGCCGCGGUACCCACCACUGAGUCCAGCAGCAUACCUCCGCGGCGUCACCGCCAUCGCCACGUACCGAGCCUACUUUUUCCCAGGUGCUGCCAUCCAAUGGCUCAGCUACGUACUGUGGCUGCAAGGUCAGGCCGGUGACCUCCCUACUAGCGCCCUACGCGACAUAGAUGUCAAGGCGAGGACGCACAUCGCCCGGUACCAUAUGGAGUACCAGGACCCAGCCUCGCUGACGGAAGCCAUCGGACAAGCGCUCGCGGCACCAGCAGUGUACGCCCCCGCGCCAGCCCCGGUACAGGCACAGCCGUAUGCCACCCAGCAGCAGCGGCAGGGAAACGAAAUAUGCCUCCGGUUCAACUACCACGCACGAUCAUGCCCACCCGGAGGCGCAUGCGGGCGCCGACACGUCUGCCACCGCUGCCAAGGGCCGCACACCGCCAGAAGCUGCCCGACGCAAAGCGCGCGCCCCCUGGCGCCGGCACGCCCUCCGCAGCCGACCGGAGCACGGCCCCCCCGCCCACUGUGGCGGUAGAUCCCACGCAUGUAGCAGAUACGGAAAGGAAGCAAGAACCGACAAAGGGACGAGAUAGAAGUCGAGACCGUGAUACGCCAAAACGCGAAAGCAGGUUAGAAGGGAAGUUCAAUCCGUAAGUAAACCAUCUUCUGACACCCGGAACGGCAAAGGUGAGCGCUAAUGGCACCGUGCUGUGCAACGCGAUGCAGCACGGAACAUUAGCGCCGGACGGACGGGUGUCUACCGGCCGGCCCACGCACACCGACGGGCGGGUGCCUACUGGCCCCGCGCGGAGAGUGUCCGUACACGGGAGCAUAGAUGGCGCGUCGAGCGGCCAGAGUUUAUUAUAUAUCUAGGGAGCGCAGCCUGAAAACAAGUUCUAUGGGAAAAUUGCUUUAUUAUUUAAUACUUAUCGAAUAUUUAGCCAGUCUUGUACACUGCCCUACCACCACGAAAUCAAUAUUAACUAAUUAUUAUGCGCUUUGUUAUUUCGCGGAACGGCAACGCCGCAACAGCCUGUUGUUUGAACAUCCGCCCGACAACGGCACGCCAGAGCAAUUUCCCACCCACCCACUGCCCAAUACCACCUGUCCUACGUCCUUCCAGUCUCCUUCUAUCUGCCCUUCGGGUCGGUCUUUCAGCAUGUAGCAGAUACGGAAAGGAAGCAAGAACCGACAAAGGGACGAGAUAGAAGUCGAGACCGUGAUACGCCAAAACGCGAAAGCAGGUUAGAAGGGAAGUUCAAUCCGUAAGUAAACCAUCUUCUGACACCCGGAACGGCAAAGGUGAGCG